UUCCUACGGAGGCAGCAGUGGGGAAUUUUGGACAAUGGGCGCAAGCCUGAUCCAGCCAUUCCGCGUGCAGGAUGAAGGCCCUCGGGUUGUAAACUGCUUUUGUACGGAACGAAAAGCGCUGGGUUAAUACCUCGGCGUCAUGACGGUACCGUAAGAAUAAGCACCGGCUAACUACGUGCCAGCAGCCGCGGUAAUACGUAGGGUGCAAGCGUUAAUCGGAAUUACUGGGCGUAAAGCGUGCGCAGGCGGUGAUGUAAGACAGGUGUGAAAUCCCCGGGCUCAACCUGGGAACUGCAUUUGUGACUGCAUCGCUGGAGUGCGGCAGAGGGGGAUGGAAUUCCGCGUGUAGCAGUGAAAUGCGUAGAUAUGCGGAGGAACACCGAUGGCGAAGGCAAUCCCCCUGGCCCUGCACUGACGCUCAUGCACGAAAGCGUGGGGAGCAAACAGGAUUAGAUACCCUGGUAGUCCACGCCCUAAACGAUGUCAACUGGUUGUUGGUCCUUCCACUGGAUCAGUAACGAAGCUAACGCGUGAAGUUGACCGCUGGGAGU
rnacentral:rRNA from 1 species